rnacentral:lncRNA from 1 species
CUGAGCUGGGUUAAAGUGACCUCAAAUGGGGAGGAAAUUCCAUGUGUUUGAGGGUGUCUCUCAUCACUGCCCCCAUCAUCUUCUUCUCUAGGGCCCCAAAGUUAACUUUUCAUUGGAAACACUUUGUCUUUACACACAUUUAUAUGUGUGAUAGGAAGUGUUUCCUAUACCACUUUUAGACAGUUUCAUUUGCAUUUAAAUAAUGAGUCUACCUCUAGGACUGUCCCACAAAUUUUAUAAAUGCGCAUGUACAAGAAGCUAUCUUACAUAGGAUGAUGGUAAAGAUUUAUUAGAGAUCUCAGUCAAACUCACAUUUUAAUAAUUAAAAUAAAACCUAUCACUAAAGUGCUUUUUUGUGAUUAAUCGGAUCACUCUCUCCACUGGAGUCUAACACCACAUAAACAUUUUCACUUCAUGAUUGAGCAUGCGGACAGGUUGCUGUAAUGUUAUUUAGCUAUUAUUACUUAAGUUCCCUUUUGUGGGUUGAUGCAUUCAUGUGAGUUAGGGGCUGUGUUGAUAUUCUCUGUCACUCCAGGUGUAACUUCCACCACUUUCCACACUGCCCUGGAUCCUGGAAGACUCUGGACAGCAUCAACCAUGUUCUCCUUGAGGAGUGUGGGGGUGGCACUGGCAGGAAACCCAAUGCCUUGUAUACUGGAAUUUGGUCACAAUAAGUACAAUUGACCCUUGGAAUUUAUGGGGGGACAAUGAAGCCCCACUGAGAUGUGGACACUGGAUAGGCUCCCAGGCCCUGUCACUAGUAAUCUCAGAACAUGUGUGAUAUAAGUGGAACCUUAGCAAUUCCUAUUUACUACACAUCAGACAUGCUUGCAGGUAAUGAAAUCCUUGUUGGAAUUCCCAAAUUUCCAUAAGAGAUCAAUCAGAAGUAUAUAUUUGUCCCAAAUUUAAUUUUCAGAUCAUCAUAUUAGGCUUCAUGUAAGUCAUUUAAUCUAUCUAAACCUAAAGGUUCUAAUCUGUCAUAUAGUGAUAACACUAUAUUAUUUUUUGGUGAGCAUUGAAUAAGUUAAGGUGCAACAUAUUCAGCAAUAAUAAGCAUUCCAUAGCUGUUAGCUAUUGUCUCAGUUUAGGGGCCUAAGGAAACCGACUCUGAGAUGAAAAGUAACAAGCAGGAGGUGUUUAGGGUGCAAUCUCAGGAACAUCACUGUAAACAAGUGAGGAAGGGACAACUGGACAGAGGGAGAAGUCAAACAUGUGGUUGCAACAGAGGCCCAUGGGGACCUCGGAUGCUGAGAUGGCCAUUCAGAUUGUCCUGAAUUAAGUAGGGAAUCAGAGUCUUUUAUCGCUGCAUCAAACAGAGGUGAUCUUGGGUAAGGUAACUCCUUUUAUUGAGGGAAAAC